ACAACAUUUGGACCACGGGUAUACGGAGCAAUUACAUCCGCUCGGUGGAAGAUCUUCCCUUUGUCAU
rnacentral:pre_miRNA from 1 species